AAAGGCAGUGAGUUCUCUCAGCCAAUUUCUCAGCCAAUUACAGGUCAACCUGCUCGUCUACCCCGCUCACUGCUGCGCUU
rnacentral:sRNA from 1 species